rnacentral:misc_RNA from 1 species
CAACCCUUAAGCCCUGUCGCUUAGCGUUGGGAGCCCGCCGGCCCCGUGCCGGCGGCUCCUCAAAGUUAGUGGCGGAGUCGGUACACACUCUAGGCGUAGUAAUUGCUCUCUCGCCUCUGCAGCAGUGCCGGCCCCUGCCGUAAAACACCCCACUCUUUCCAU